UACGUAGGGUCCGAGCGUUGUCCGGAGUUACUGGGCGUAAAGGGCGCGUAGGCGGUACUUCAAGUCAGGCGUGAAAGCCCCGGGCUCAACCUGGGAACCGCGCUUGAGACUGGAGAACUAGAGUUCGGGAGAGGAUGGUGGAAUUCCCAGUGUAGAGGUGAAAUUCGUAGAUAUUGGGAAGAACACCGAUGGCGAAGGCAGCCAUCUGGACCGACACUGACGCUGAGGCGCGAAAGCGUGGGGAGCAAACAGG
rnacentral:rRNA from 1 species